rnacentral:rRNA from 1 species
CGCACGGGUGAGUAACACGUAUCCAACCUGCCGUCUACUCUUGGACAGCCUUCUGAAAGGAAGAUUAAUACAAGAUGGCAUCAUGAGUCCGCAUGUUCACAUGAUUAAAGGUAUUCCGGUAGACGAUGGGGAUGCGUUCCAUUAGAUAGUAGGCGGGGUAACGGCCCACCUAGUCUUCGAUGGAUAGGGGUUCCGAGAGGAAGGUCCCCCACAUUGGAACUGAGACACGGUCCAA